GACGAACGCUGGCGGCGUGCUUAACACAUGCAAGUCGAGCGGUAAGGCCCUUUCGGGGGUACACGAGCGGCGAACGGGUGAGUAACACGUGGGUGACCUGCCUUUAGCUCUGGGAUAAGCCUGGGAAACCGGGUCUAAUACCGGAUAUGACUCCGCGGCGCAUGUUGUGGGGUGGAAAGCCUUGUGCGGCUGGAGAUGGGCCCGCGGCCUAUCAGCUUGUUGGUGGGGUGAUGGCCUACCAAGGCGACGACGGUAGCCGGCCUGAGAGGGCGACCGGCCACACUGGGACUGAGACACGGCCCAGACUCCUACGGGAGGCAGCAGUGGGGAAUCUUGCGCAAUGGGCGAAAGCCUGACGCAGCGACGCCGCGUGA
rnacentral:rRNA from 1 species